GCGGUGGUAGUUCAACGGUAGAACACCACCUUCCCAAGGUGGGGGUUGCGGGUUCAAAUCCCGUCCACCGCU
rnacentral:tRNA from 1 species